GGCUGACUGUGGCCGCCUCAGCUGGGUGAAGAUGCGGCCCCAAGCAUGACAGGCAGGGACGGGAGGGAUCCAGUGUUUUCUCCAAGUUGGAAAGAAGUAUCAAAAUGGAAAACCACCUGCUCCAGAACCCCAUGUGGCCACGGGGUGGGCACGUGAUGGGGACCCAUUGUUUCUACCUGGGGCGGGAGAAGUGUCCCAGCCGUGGAUCAGAACCUGUGUCCUGGACAGAUGGAGACAUCCAGGCAGAGGGAGCCAGGGCUGAGGUCUGAGCUCACAUCCGCAGUCUGGAGCCCUCGUAGCAGCAGGCACUUGUCAGGCACAACCCUCAGGCCCACAUGCAAUGGGACUGAGUUCCAGCCACUGCCGGGUUUGGCCCAGGAACACCAACCUCCUAGGCACUUUCUGUCUCUGCUCACUGACCUGCAGUGCCCAGGCAGCCUCCGGGCCACACAAGGACUCUGUGAGCUGAGCUCCUUAGCUGUCCCUUCUGGAACUAUGACAAGAGUAAGAAACUUUGUUGUGGUGAGCUGCUGAGACUUGGGGCUGUUUGUUAUGACAGCUAGCUUUCUCUGACUGAUACAGAAAGUCAUGAUCUAAAGUGAGUGGGGCUGGUGUGGACUGACAGUGUGGAAAUGGGUAUCAGAGUCUUUCAAAUACUGUAAUCCAUGUUAUAAAGUACAAAAUAUUAGAGGAGACACUGCUGUUGAUUGCCUGGAAAGCAGAGCACCGGGCACCAGCCUGAGCCCCAUGGUGAGCGUGGGGAAGAACAAAUAGACUGAGGUGCUGUGGCCACUGGCGUUGCAUUCCUAAGGCACUGUGGGACAGGAACUGCUGACGUGGAGCAGAAAUGAAAGAGAACAGAGGGAGACGCGGGCACUGGAAGAGCCAAGCACUGAACCACAGCCUCAACCUUCUUGUGAUUAAGCAGAGAGGAAGAGGCAAGGGGAAAAGGGCGCAGAGGAAUAAACGAGGCCUGACAGUCGAGGCUGGGAAGAGCCAUGGGUGUGCUUGCUGCUACACAGAGCUCACCGGAAGGAAAAACACGGUCCUGCAUGAGCGCAUUCUCAGCCCCCAGCAGCUAGCUGGGGCCGUGUGCUGCCACCAUUCCUGGGCCUGGCUGGAGUGCUCUGCAUCGAGCCCCCCGUGCUCCCUGUCUUGAUUCCCUGCUGGACGAGACCCGCCGUGGUGACCUGGAGGGUGCUGGGCCACCUGGACGGGAGCUGAUGCACCAGGCUGAAGCCCCCAGCCAUCGCCUUGGGAACCUUCUGGCUCAGCUGAGUGGUGCUUCGUGAGUGAGUUCUGAAAAGACCAGCCCAGGACCUGCCCAUCCGCCAACCCACGGAGCAGAAGGAACUCAUAAAUCAUCACCGGCUGCUCAGGUGGGCUUUGCUGCUCCACAACAGAUAACUGACAACAGCCAUCUUUCCUGCCUGGAAGUGCGAGCAUCAGAAACAGCCGUGGGAUGAGUCUGGCUGUGGAAGAGUGUGCACAAUCCCACGGCAGAGCGGCCUGGGUAGCAGUGUCCCUUUCCAAGGGAGACCAGAGACCUGCUUAUUCAUUCAUUCAUUUGGACCAGUUUUCUGCCCGUCCCGCUGCUUUAAGCUGAGAAUCCUGAGAUGGCCCUCGGCUUCAGUCUCCACCCUUAAAAUGCUCCCUCAUUCGUGAGGAAAACAGAAAAACCGUCCGCUGUGCGGGUGGGGGAGGACAACUGUGACAACAGUUCAUAAAAUAAACAAAAGAAGUUUUGUG
ensembl:lincRNA